GACGAACGCUGGCGGCGUGCCUAAUACAUGCAAGUCGAACGCAGUGGGGACGGGUGAGUAACACGUGGGUAACCUCCCAUCAGAGGGGAUAACACUUGGAAACUGGUGCUAAACCGAUACGGAUGGAGGGAAUAGGGGUGCAUUAGCUAGUUGGUGGGGUACCGGCUCACCAAGGCCACGAUGCCUAGCCGGCCUGAGAGGCUGACCGGCCACACUGGGACUGAGACACGGCCCAGACUCCUACGGGAGGCAGCAGUAGGGAAUCUUCGGCAAUGGACGAAAGCCUGACCGAGCAACGCCGCGUGAGUGAAGAAGGUUUUCGGAUCGUAAAACUCUUUUGUUAGAGAAGCGGUAUCUAACCAGAAAGCCACGGCUAACUACGUGCCAGCAGCCGCGGUAAUAC
rnacentral:rRNA from 1 species